rnacentral:rRNA from 1 species
CCUACGGGAGGCAGCAGUGAGGAAUAUUGGACAAUGGGCGCAAGCCUGAUCCAGCCAUGCCGCGUGCAGGAAGAAGCAUCUAUGGUGUGUAAACUGCUUUUGUACAGGAAGAAACACUCCCUCGUGAGGGAGCUUGACGGUACUGUAAGAAUAAGGACCGGCUAACUCCGUGCCAGCAGCCGCGGUAAUACGGAGGGUCCGAGCGUUAUCCGGAAUCAUUGGGUUUAAAGGGUCCGUAGGCGGUUUAAUAAGUCAGUGGUGAAAUCUGGUCGCUCAACGAUCAAACGGCCAUUGAUACUGUUAGACUUGAAUUAUAAGGAAGUAACUAGAAUAUGUAGUGUAGCGGUGAAAUGCUUAGAUAUUACAUGGAAUACCAAUUGCGAAGGCAGGUUACUACUUAUGGAUUGACGCUGAUGGACGAAAGCGUGGGGAGCGAACAGGAUUAGAUACCCUGGUAGUCCACGCCGUAAACGAUGGAUACUAGCUGUUCGGAGCAAUCUGAGUGGCUAAGCGAAAGUGAUAAGUAUCCCACCUGGGGAGUACGUUCGCAAGAAUGAAACUUAAGGAAUUGACGG